UUACUGUUCACGCAGCAGACCAUUUCUUCUGCCACCGAAUACAUUAGCAUGGGAUAAUGGAAUAGGACCCUGUCCUCCUAUUUUGCGUGUUGGUUUUCGAGGACCGGGUAAUGAUUAAUAGGGAUAGUUGGGGGCAUUAAUAUUUAAUUGUCAGAGGUGAAAUUCUUGGAUUUAUGAAAGAUUGACUUCUGCGAAAGCAUCUGCCAAGGAUGUUUUCAUUAAUCAAGAACGAAAGUUAGGGGAUCGAAGACGAUCAGAUACCGUCGUAGUCUUAACCAUAAACGAUGCCGACCAGCGAUUAGGAGACGUUGAAUACAAAACACCACCGUCGGGUCGGCCGUCCUUGGCCGUCGUGCGCGGCGACGCGCGCGGCGGCGAGGGCGGUGUCUGCCCGACGGCCCGGUGAAUGACUCCCCUAGCAGCUUGUG
rnacentral:rRNA from 1 species